GACGAACGCUGGCGGCGUGCCUAAUACAUGCAAGUCGAACGGAAAGGUCCUGCUCUUGCUGGUUGCUCGAGUGGCGAACGGGUGAGUAACACGUGAGUAACCUGUCCUUGUCUUUGUGAUAACUUUAGGAAACUGGGGCUAAUACCGGAUAUGAGCUCCUGCUGCACGGUGGGCGUUGGAAAGUUUCGGCGGUUGGAGAUGGACUCGCGGGUUAUCAGCUUGUUGGUGGGGUAGUGGCUUACCAAGGCUUUGACGGGUAGCCGGCCUGAGAGGGUGACCGGCCACAUUAGGACUGAGAUACGGCCCAGACGCCUACGGGAGGCAGCAGUGGAAAGUAUUACGCAGUGGGCGGAAGCCAGAUGCAACGACGCCGCGUGCGGAAUGACGGCCUUCGAGUUGUAAACCGAUUUCGACUGUGACGAGGCGUGAGUGACGGUAAUGAGUAAGAAAGCACCGGCUAACUACGUG
rnacentral:rRNA from 1 species